GUUUGUGUAAGAAGGGGAGAGACCUACGAGGUUCCGCUGGCUGACUCAAGAGAACACUGGGAGCCCUGGAGUCCCCCCUCCAAGCCCUCCUCUUUCUCCCCGGGCUCUGAGCUCUGCUAGCGCGAGUCCAGCUUCCAUGGACACUGAGUCACCGGGACCCUGGUGGGAGGCCGGGGCUGGGAGAGAUGCCAAGUAUCUCACCUGGAACUGGAGCGAGCUCGUCUGCAGUUCUCCCUGUAGACCUGUCAGAACAAUCGCUCUUGGAGCAUGAAGCUGCAUAUGAGAAAUCCAACUAUCCUGAGUUGCCAUACUGUGAGGAAGCCCAAGCUACGUAGAAAGGUUCCAGCAGACAGUCCCAGUGGAGCCCAGCCUUCAGGUCGUCCCAGCACAGGCACUAGACAUGUGAUUCCAGCCCCCGGAUUUCUGAGUCACUCUUAGGUAUUCUAGUCCUGCCAAAUGGAACUCCUGAUAUUAUAGAGUCAAGACAAAUCAUCCCUGCUGUGCUUUGUCCGAAUUUUCCAGUCACAGAAACUGUGAGUAUAAUAAAAUGAUUAUUACUUUA